rnacentral:rRNA from 1 species
UGGGGAAUUUUGGACAAUGGGGGAAACCCUGAUCCAGCCAUCCCGCGUGUGCGAUGAAGGCCUUCGGGUUGUAAAGCACUUUUGGCAGGAAAGAAACGUCAUGGGUUAAUACCCCGUGAAACUGACGGUACCUGCAGAAUAAGCACCGGCUAACUACGUGCCAGCAGCCGCGGUAAUACGUAGGGUGCAAGCGUUAAUCGGAAUUAAUGGGCGUAAAGCGUGCGCAGGCGGUUCGGAAAGAAAGAUGUGAAAUCCCAGAGCUCAACUUUGGAACUGCAUUUUUAUCUACCGGGCUAGAGUGUGUCAGAGGGAGGUGGAAUUCCGCGUGUAGCAGUGAAAUGCGUAGAUAUGCAGAGGAACACCGAUGGCGAAGGCAGCCUCCUGGAAUAACACUGACGCUCAUGCACGAAAGCGUGGGGAGCAAACAGG